GAUCUGAGCUUUUGGAGGCUGGAUCAUUGCCCUCCAUGCUCUCUUCUGUUGACACCUAACGGAGGCAGCCAGUGACUGCCACCUCUCAAUAAAGUGCACGUGCCAUCUAGAAAAUCAAAUGAAAUUAAAAUGCCUGGUCUGUCCGUCAUGGGUGAGCGCGCAAGUUCCCAUGCUCUGCUGCUGCCCCAUCAAUGAAGAAACCUCCAUUCCAUUGCUCUUGCUCGUAUUACAUAUACCGCUCCACAGUUCACACCCCAAACACCCCCUCCUCUCUUUCAAGUCUCAACUCUCACGCAUUCAUGGAUGUUGUUCACCGCAAUAGCCUAUAGGAGUGGAGAGAACUGAGGUGGUCAUGUCUUUUGCCUAUUCCCAGAAAGAUAAUCUGCACCAUACCAAGAUACAAGGUCAAAGGCAAAAAUGCUUCUGAGGAGCUCAUCAACUUCUGCAGCUGGACCCUUGUUUUCACCCUUCUCGGACGGCCCUAAUAGAGACUUUGACGCUGUUAACAACACCCACGACACCCACACCAACCACAUCAAACACCAACCAGUGUUUCAUGAUCACAAACUAUCAUUUCCUCACGGUUUGCAGCACCUCAACUUGACACCAUUAUCAGGCCACAGCAGCUCAUCUCCAUUGUCUGAACUCGAUCAAGAAAAGGGUAGUUCUCGAAUUAACAGCCUUCGAAGAGCUUCGUCGGAUAGUAAUUUGGAAAGUUUUGUCUAUACAUCUUCUUGUGAUCAAGAAGAAUUUCGUAACUCAACUACUACAUCAAAGAAAUUUCAAUAUAGACAUCACAAGAGAAUGUUGCACUCUUCACCUUCUUUUUCGAUAUUUUACAAAAAUGAUGAACUAGAGGAUGAAGGACACAAUGGAACAGAUGUGGGAAGAGAAGAAGAAUUGAUGAGAACUAUUACAAUUAGAGAAAACAUAGAAUCUAUUGGUAGCGGGGACUUCAGUUUUGGAAAGACGAGCAUGGGGUUAAUAGAGGAGGAAGGAGAGAAGGAGCAGGAACAAGAUUCAAACGGAAUUGAGAAUUUCGAUAUUGAAAGUAAGGGAACCGGCUAGUCCUCCCCUGUAUCUUGCUGCUGGGCUUGGGAUUGAUGAUAUAGAUCUCGGUGGUAAUAGUGGUGGCGGUGGUGGUUUUCAUUUAAGUUUUCCGAACUUUGAUGAAGAUGAUGAUGUGGAAGAGUAUUAUAAGAGGAUGAUUGAUGAGAAUCCUUUCCACCCUUUGCUCCUCUCAAACUAUGCUCGGCUGUUGCAGUCCAAGGAAGACCUACAUGGAGCUGAGGAAUAUUAUCGUCUUGCAACACUGGCAGCUCCUGCAGACGGUGAAAUUCUGAUGCAGUAUGCGAAACUGGAAUGGGAGCUGAACCAUGAUCAAGAUAGAGCAUUAAUUAACUUUGAGCGUGCAGUUCAGUCAGCCCCUCAAGACAGCAAUGUUCUUGCAGCUUAUGCCAGCUUUCUCUGGGAAAUAGAAGACGAUGGGGAAGGAAAUACAUUUCAACCAGAAUUUAUCCAGCUUCCAUCUGAGCAUCAUAUUGAUCUGGAAGACCAUGCUGCAUCUGAUGCCAACAAGGAUCGCGAUGCUGAGGAGUUUUAUAGAGCGAUGGUGGAGGCAAAUCCUUGCAACUCUUUGGUUCUAAGAAAUUAUGCUGAGUUUCUGUAUCAGUCCAAGAGAGACCUUAAAGGGGCUGAGGAAUACUUCUCCCGAGCCAUAGUGGCUGAUCCUGGUGAUGGAGAAAUCCUGUCGCAAUAUGCAAAAUUGGUGUGGGAACUUUAUCGUGACCAUGAUAAAGCCUUGUGUUACUUUAAACAAUCAAUUCAAGCAACUCCUGCUGACAGCUAUGUUCUCGCAGCUUAUGCUAGUUUCCUAUGGGAAACAGAGGAAAAUGAAGAAGAUAGCACGAGUCAGUUCGAGAUGCCCAAUCACAAUGAAGGUGCAGUAGCUGCUGCCAAUGCUCAAGUGCAUCAUAAAUACUAGACCAGGACUAUAGUUACGAAUGCUUUAUCAGAAGCAAAACAAUAGGAAUGCCAUUAAGAUAUAAGCUCCAACUGAAUAAACUAAAAUGUUGUUAAAAUUGAGAGAAAUUGCAGCCAAAUUAACAACACUUUCUGACGAUUUUCCCA